AGAUGAUAAAAUUGUACUAAAGUUAUAUACCGGGUCAAAUUUUCAUAUAUAAAAAUUGAUACAUCUAAUUGCCAAAUAAUAUUAUCGCGUAAUCCAGAGAAAAGGUACGGACGACCGAGUGGCGCGUAACGCAAUCCCGCAGAUAUAAAUGUAUAUUAGUUAUAGGGUAUUAGAUACUUAACUAUGUGUAUAUAAUGCUAAGACACAAUAGUUAGUUAUAAGAAAGUAUCAAUACAACACAAAUUAACAAAACAAAAGUCACAAAAGUGUAUGCAAAUCAGAACCAAAAAAUAAUCGACCAGUAAAGUUAUACGUCGGAAACGGAACAACACCAAAAAUAACUCACCAGUUGAGGUGUACGUCGAAAACGGAACAGAAAGCAAUAUCGGUAAUCCAUAUUCGGCGGUGGCCUUAUCUCAGUGUCAAGGGCGGGGAGACGACCGAUGACAACCGAUUGUCAUAUUAAUGGCUGGACGGCUGAUAUCGAGAGAGACA